GUGGGGAAUAUUGCACAAUGGGGGGAACCCUGAUGCAGCGAUGCCGCGUGGAGGAAGAAGGUUUUCGGAUUGUAAACUCCUGUCUGAGAGGACGAUAAUGACGGUACUCUCAAAGAAAGCUCCGGCUAACUACGUGCCAGCAGCCGCGGUAAUACGUAGGGAGCGAGCGUUGUCCGGAAUUACUGGGUGUAAAGGGAGCGUAGGCGGGAUGGUAAGUCAGAUGUGAAAUGCAGGAGCUCAACUCCUGAGCUGCAUUUGAAACUGCUGUUCUUGAGUGAGGUAGAGGUAAGCGGAAUUCCUGGUGUAGCGGUGAAAUGCGUAGAGAUCAGGAGGAACAUCGGUGGCGAAGGCGGCUUACUGGGCCUUUACUGACGCUGAGGCUCGAAAGCGUGGGGAGCAAACAGG
rnacentral:rRNA from 1 species